AGUUUGGAGCUCUCCCUGCUGAAGCCACGGAGCAAAACCCUGUAGCUUCAGCUCUCUGAUAGAUGCUACACCACACAAGUGGGAUCAGCAGAAAGCAGCCCUCCUUCCCACCUCUCAGCUCCUUUGAAAUGUCUGGAUGAACCCCCAAGAAUUAGAGACCCCAAAAUCACUUCUGAAAACUCAUCCAGCCUUAAACCCUGGUAGGAGCAAACAGAAGAUAGUUUCAAAUGUGGGGGGGAAAUGCAACAUCCAGUU